rnacentral:rRNA from 1 species
AUGGCCCUAUUUAGAUAUUGCAUAGAUGAAUGUGGACUUUUGGACCUUGGGUAUAUUGGCCCUAAAUUUACAUGGUCUAACCGACAACAUGACGGGAUGAACAUAAGAGUUAGACUAGAUCGAGCUUUGGCAAAUAGUGAGUUUCUUAAAAGGUUUGAUAAUUGCUCUGUCGAAAACAUUAUAACUACAUCUUCAGACCACUUGGCGAUAUUGAUAACAAUAGCCAAGAGUGGUGAUCAGACUGCUACCAGUCCAGUGCAUAACUCCUUCAGAUUUGAAGCUGCAUGGAUGAGGGCUCCGGAUUAUAAUCAAAUGAUAGAGGAAAAUUGGAAAAAUCUGAAAGAUGGUGCUCCUUCCUUGAACAACACAUGGUCUGCACUAAAUAAAUUAUCCAAAGCUAUGCAGACCUGGUGUAAGACAUCAUUUGGACAAAUAAGAAAAGAGAUCAGAAGACUUGAGAAACGCCUGGCUGAUUUAAGAAGGAAUAGUUUGGUGACAGAUAGCUGUGUUGAAGAGAAGCAGAUUGAAAAAUGUCUGUGUGAACUUUUUGAGAGAGAAUAGAUUAUGGCAUGUCAGCGCUCAAGGGUUGAUUGGCUGCGUGAGGGGGACCGUAACACCUCCUUUUUCCAUGCCCGAGCUUCAGCUAGGAGGAGAACUAAUAGAAUUAAUUUCUUGAAGCAAGCUGACAGAACAAGAUGUGAAGAUCACAAAGCUAUCAAGAGUAUGGUAUAUGAGUUCUAUGCUAAUCUGUUCACCUCUUAACCUUGUACCUCAUUAGAUGCGGUGCUUCAAGCAAUUCCUUCUAAAGUGAACGAAGAAAUCAAUGAAGCCCUCUGUCGAGAAUAUACAAAUGAAGAAAUCAAGACCGCAUUCUUCCAAAUGGGGCCCAUCAAGGCCCUUGGACCUGACGGCUUCCCUGCCCUUUUUUUACCAAAAACAUUGGAAGCUGUUAGAAGAGGAUGUUUGUGCCGCAGUGAAGGGUUUUCUUUUGGGAUCGGAAAUUCCAGAAGGCUUCAACGAUUCGGUAAUUGUUUUAAUCCCAAAAGUAAAUUCUCCUGA